UUUCCGUAGGUGAACCUGCGGAAGGAUCAUUCAUAAUAAGUAUUUUUCUGCACUUUUUAAAAAUAGUACUCACCUUGUGUUCAAUGUUGUGUUUCUUUUCGGAGAAACACCUACACCAACCUAUAACCUUUAACCACUUUGUCUGAAAAACUAUUAUGCAUACUUAAUUCAAAAUACAACUUUCAACAACGGAUCUCUUGGCUCUC
rnacentral:misc_RNA from 1 species